UACGGAGGGUGCGAGCGUUGUCCGGAAUCACUGGGCGUAAAGGGCGCGUAGGCGGCGCGAGUAGUCAACGGUGAAAGCCCGGGCUCAACCCCGGGUCGGCCGUCGAUACUCUCGUGCUUGAGCACUGUAGAGGCAGGUGGAAUUCCGGGUGUAGCGGUGGAAUGCGUAGAGAUCCGGAAGAACACCGGUGGCGAAGGCGGCCUGCUGGGCAGUAGCUGACGCUGAGGCGCGACAGCGUGGGGAGCAAACAGG
rnacentral:rRNA from 1 species